rnacentral:rRNA from 1 species
ACCCCUUUGGGGGUACUCGAGUGGCGAACGGGUGAGUAACACGUGAGUAACCUGCCCUUGACCUCGGGAUAACUUCAGGAAACUGGGGCUAAUACCGGAUAGGAAUCCUUGCUGCAUGGUGGGGGUUGGAAAGCUUCGGCGGUUUUGGAUGGACUCGCGGCUUAUCAGCUUGUUGGUGGGGUAGUGGCUUACCAAGGCUUUGACGGGUAGCCGGCCUGAGAGGGCGACCGGCCACAUUGGGACUGAGAUACGGCCCAG